GACGAACGCUGGCGGCGUGCUUAACACAUGCAAGUCGAACGGAAAGGCCCUGCUUUUGUGGGGUGCUCGAGUGGCGAACGGGUGAGUAACCCGUGGGUAACCUGCCCUUGACUUUGGGAUAACUUCAGGAAACUGGGGCUAAUACCGGAUAGGAGCUGCUGCUGCAUGGUGGGGGUUGGAAAGUUUCGGCGGUUGGGGAUGGACUCGCGGCUUAUCAGCUUGUUGGUGGGGUAGUGGCUUACCAAGGCUUUGACGGGUAGCCGGCCUGAGAGGGUGACCGGCCACAUUGGGACUGAGAUACGGCCCAGACUCCUACGGGAGGCAGCAGGGGGGAAUAUUGCACAAUGGGCGGAAGCCUGAUGCAGCAACGCCGCGUGCGGGAUGACGGCCUUCGGGUUGUAAACCGCUUUCGCCUGUGACGAAGCGUGAGUGACGGUAAUGGGUAAAGAAGCACCGGCUAACUACGUG
rnacentral:rRNA from 1 species